GGUGCCUGGGUAGCUCAGUCGGUUGAGCAUCGGACUUUGGCUCACGUCAUGAUCUCACAUUGGGCUCUGUGCUGACAGCUCAGAGCCUGGAGCCUGCUUCAGAUUCUUUGUCUCCCUCUCUCUGCCCCUCCCCUGCUCUUGCUCUGUCUCGCUCUCAAAAAUAAAUAAACAUUAAAAAAAACCCAUCAGUUUGGGAAAAUUAUAAAUAUUUUUUUAUUUAAAAAAAUUUAAUGUUUAUUUAUUUUUGACAGAGAGAGACAGAGCAUGAGUGGAGGAGGGGCAGAGAGAGAGGGAGACACAGAAUCCGAAGCAGGCUGCAGGCCCUGAGCCGUCAGCACAGAGUCCGACACGGGGCUCGAAGCCAUGAACCGUGAGAUCGUGACCUGAGCCGAAGUCGGACGCUCAACCGACUGAGUCACCCAGGCGCCCCUCUAAAGAGUAUUUUAAAAAGUACAAUCACACACUGAAAAGUGGCAAAGCUUCAGUUAAACUUUCUGCCUAACUGGAACCUAAGAAAUGAGACAGUGGCAGGUUUCACACCGGCUUUCCCAAGCCGUCCCCUUGGAAUUAUGUUAGGGACAAGAGGGUGUGAGGUUGGAAGAGGAAGGCCGACGGCUGAAGUCUGAAGGACUCUGUCAAGACAACAGCAGUGAUUCCGGUCUACCAAAAAAGCAGGUCAGAGACUUAAGACAGAAAUAGAAACAAUCCCAGAACUGACAGGUAAGGAAGUGACAGUGAAUGGGACCAUGGCAAUAGUCCCAUCUCAACAUGAAC
rnacentral:lncRNA from 1 species